rnacentral:rRNA from 1 species
GCUACAGGCUUAACACAUGCAAGUCGAGGGGCAGCAUGGUCUUAGCUUGCUAAGGCCGAUGGCGGCCGGCGCACGGGUGAGUAACGCGUAUCCAACCUGCCUUACACUCUUGGACAGCCUUCUGAAAGGGAGAUUAAUACAAGAUGUUAUCAUGAGUAAGCAUUUUCGCAUGAUUAAAGGUUUACCGGUGUAAGAUGGGGAUGCGUUCCAUUAGAUAGUAGGCGGGGUAACGGCCCACCUAGUCUUCGAUGGAUAGGGGUUCUGAGAGGAAGGUCCCCCACAUUGGAACUGAGACACGGUCCAAACUCCUACGGGAGGCAGCAGUGAGGAAUAUUGGUCAAUGGACGAGAGUCUGAACCAGCCAAGUAGCGUGAAGGAUGAAGGUUCUAUGGAUUGUAAACUUCUUUUAUACGGGAAUAAACGAAUCCACGUGUGGAUUUUUGCAUGUACCGUAUGAAUAAGGAUCGGCUAACUCCGUGCCAGCAGCCGCGGUAAUACGGAGGAUCCGAGCGUUAUCCGGAUUUAUUGGGUUUAAAGGGAGCGUAGAUGGGUUGUUAAGUCAGUUGUGAAAGUUUGCGGCUCAACCGUAAAAUUGCAAUUGAUACUGGCAGUCUUGAGUACAGUUGAGGUAGGCGGAAUUCGUGGUGUAGCGGUGAAAUGCUUAGAUAUCACGAAGAACUCCGAUUGCGAAGGCAGCUUACUAACCUGUAACUGACAUUGAUGCUCGAAAGUGUGGGUAUCAAACAGGAUUAGAUACCCUGGUAGUCCACACGGUAAACGAUGAAUACUCGCUGUAGGCGAUAUACAGUCUGCGGCCAAGCGAAAGCAUUAAGUAUUCCACCUGGGGAGUACGCCGGCAACGGUGAAACUCAAAGGAAUUGACGGGGGCCCGCACAAGCGGAGGAACAUGUGGUUUAAUUCGAUGAUACGCGAGGAACCUUACCCGGGCUUAAAUUGCAACCGAAUAUGGCGGAAACGCUAUAGCUAGCAAUAGCGGUUGUGAAGGUGCUGCAUGGUUGUCGUCAGCUCGUGCCGUGAGGUGUCGGCUUAAGUGCCAUAACGAGCGCAACCCUUGCCGAUAGUUACUAACAGGUCAUGCUGAGGACUCUGUCGGGACUGCCAUCGUAAGAUGUGAGGAAGGUGGGGAUGACGUCAAAUCAGCACGGCCCUUACGUCCGGGGCUACACACGUGUUACAAUGGGGGGUACAGAGGGCUGCUACCACGCAAGUGGAUGCCAAUCCCAAAAACCUCUCUCAGUUCGGAUUGAAGUCUGCAACCCGACUUCAUGAAGCUGGAUUCGCUAGUAAUCGCGCAUCAGCCACGGCGCGGUGAAUACGUUCCCGGGCCUUGUACACACCGCCCGUCAAGCCAUGGGAGCCGGGGGUACCUGAAGUGCGUAACCGCAAGGAGCGCCCUAGGGUAAAACUGGUGACUGGGGCUAAGUCAUAAC